UCAAUUUUUUAUUGACUAACUAAAACAAUGAUGUGGGAAUUUCUCUUUUUUAUUCUUUUUAAAAAAUUCUGCACUAUCUUCUUCUGAAUCGGAACAGAGUUUAGAUUAUAAGAUGCUUGUUAUUUUGCUUGUGUAGCAAUGAACUGUGAAAAGUGAACUAAGCUUUGCUACUUGUCAUCAUGUGUUUGUUCUCGACUUCAACUCACAGGCAGGAGAAUUCAAGAACCGAAAUUUUUCAGAAAAAAGAAGAAAGAUACAGGCCAACUGCAACAGGAGCAAACAGAACAAGUGCUAGCGUGGAGAAAAAAAGACCCAUUGAAUCAAUUAAGGGAAUGAUAUCAGAGAUAAUGAACCUUUUCAAAUGUUUGCUUUAUUUGGCUUGGCUGCAGAAGUGGCUUGCCUUCACUUGCUGAUAUUUACAUGGGAAAUUUCUUUCCAGGAGGAACCAAGGUGGUAGCUCAGGAGCCAAGGUUCCUCCACAAGAUAACUGUUGAAUGACAUAUAAACCAGGUCUCCAAGGGGAUGCUGCGAACUAGUAGAAUAGGGUCCUGCUUUGAUGGUCAGCUUCUCUUUUCAGGUGAGCUGCAGGCUUGUGGCUUGACAUGCUUCGAGUUGUUUCAUGCAUAAAUAAACUAGAACACUCAAAAAGUCUGUUGGACCUGCUGAUUCACAACUCUUACGACCAACAAUCCACAAUUUGCUUGGAUAACAUCCUUCCAAGUAUCAUUUCUAAUAUAUUUAUGGGAAUUUUGGACUCAUUUUUGCGCCAUUAUUGAAGAAUCUCAAAAUUACAUGAACUCAAUUAAAAGUGAAUGUCUGCAAACUGUGAAGGACAAUUACAUGUUAAGAUACUGAUUAUUAUCAAACGUGAUGCACUGGGUUGCCAAAAGAGAGUUUAGAGAAUAUCAAAUAGGCCUCCAACAUGAAGAAUUAGAAAUAUUUUGGCAGGCGGUGGGAAAAAAGAAAUGCAAUGACUCAGUAAACAAGAUUGUUGAAUUAAUUUUUUAUGCAUUAAUGAGUAAACUUCAGUCUAAUUUAGUUAUUGUCAUUUGCGGUAAUCAUGAAAGUAAAAUGUAAGAUUAACGGUGAAAGAAAAAGACAAAACGGCUGUAGGAAAAUUAACACAUAGAUAUUACUCUUCC
rnacentral:lncRNA from 1 species